rnacentral:rRNA from 1 species
UACGGGGGGGGCAAGCGUUGUUCGGAAUUACUGGGCGUAAAGGGCUCGUAGGUGGCCCCAUAAGUCAGACGUGAAAUCCCCAGGCUCAACCUGGGAACUGCGUCCGAUACUGGAUGGCUUGAAUCCGGGAGAGGGAUGCAGAAUUCCAGGUGUAGCGGUGAAAUGCGUAGAUAUCUGGAGGAACACCUGUGGCGAAGGCGGCCAUCUGGACGAUAACUGACGCUGAGACGCGAAAGCGUGGGUAGCAAACAGG